CGUAGACUGAACUCAGCACAGAGCAGCAGAGGAUCAAACCCAGGCUGUGAUAAACCAGAUAUGAUCCCAUAUCCAAGAGGCUCCUUCCAGCAUCCAAGCUCGCUCGGGGAAGUAGGAGGACGAGAGGUCUUCCAGCGCUCCGUUUUAGCCAGAAAGGCACAUGACAAGAAAGCCCGGUCCUUUGCUUCGCUUUCUCAUGGCUGGAGAUCUGGGCAGCUCCCUGAACGCAGCGGAGGAGCCCAUGUGAAGCGGAGCAACUCAGAGCUGCAGCCCCUGAAGCAGCGAUUUCUGCCGGGCGGUUGUGAUUUAGAAGGAGCCGAACGGAGUUAAAGAAGGGAAAAGAAAAACCACCACCAAAACCCACCGCCCUCGCUAGAUGUGUCGGAGAGCAGACGAUUGUAUCCAUGAACGUGUGUAUAACGAACCAAGAAGGAACACAGCACUAAAGGAAGCCUUUGUAAUGCUGCUAUUUUAAGGAGACCCUUGGGUCUUGGCACGUGCUGAACUGAGUUCCUUCAACAUCUUACAACAAAUCUCUCCAAAUGUUUAGAUCCUUCUACUGAUAUAAAACAAAAAAUCCGCAAUCAGUUUAAACUGGCUAAGGUUUUGACCAGAAAUUAUUGCUCUUGUGAAUUGGCUCUAUAUUUGUAGCUAACUUUUACACAGCCUAAUAAUAAACAUCUCCUCCUCCCA